AAUGGGCGCAAGCCUGACCCAGCAACGCCGCGUGAAGGAAGAAGGCUUUCGGGUUGUAAACUUCUUUUGUCAGGGAAGAGUAGAAGACUGUACCUGGCGAAUAAGCCACGGCUAACUACGUGCCAGCAGCCGCGGUAAUACGUAGGUGGCAAGCGUUGUCCGGAUUUACUGGGUGUAAAGGGCGUGUAGCCGGGAAGGCAAGUCAGAUGUGAAAUCUGGAGGCUCAACCUCCAAACUGCAUUUGAAACUGUUUUUCUUGAGUAUCGGAGAGGCAAUCGGAAUUCCUAGUGUAGCGGUGAAAUGCGUAGAUAUUAGGAGGAACACCAGUGGCGAAGGCGGAUUGCUGGACGACAACUGACGGUGAGGCGCGAAAGCGUGGGGAGCAAA
rnacentral:rRNA from 1 species